rnacentral:rRNA from 1 species
CACGUAGGGCGCAAGCGUUGUCCGGAAUUAUUGGGCGUAAAGAGCUCGUAGGCGGUCUGUUGCGUCCGCUGUGAAAACUCGGGGCUUAACCCCGAGCCUGCAGUGGAUACGGGCAGACUAGAGGUAGGUAGGGGAGAAUGGAAUUCCCGGUGUAGCGGUGAAAUGCGCAGAUAUUGGGAGGAACACCGGUGGCGAAGGCGGUUCUCUGGGACGGUACUGACGCUGAGACGCGAAAGCGUGGGGAGCGAACAGG